AACAGGGGGAAAAUCUGGAUAAUACAUUAAAGUAACCGUAAUUUUGGAGAUGCAUUCGUCUUACUGAAAUUGUGUACGUAACCAGUGAUACCGAAGUCGGAUAUUUGCUCAAUCAGGAUGCUCAACAAUUUGAGCCUUUACUUUAAAGUUUGGAGCUGCAUGGGUUUGUGGAGAAAGUCGGCUUGGGAUACUUCCUCGUGGCAGUAAUUCUUCUCCACCCCCUUUGAAUUCAGAAAGAUGGCAUAGAAAUCUCAGAAACACCACUACCUCCUUCGUUAGACCACAAGGUAUGUCCUUUUGGAAAAGUCAACUUCAUUGAUCUGCAAGGACUGUUGAAAAUUUAAAAAUUUGCUAUGGGAUUUCUGACAUGCCAGAAGCCACUAGAAAAAGAAUUUUGAUGUUCAGAACCUCAUGAAGAGGUUCCCCUCAUCUUUGGAUAGAGACCAAAAUGAUGCUUUCAAGUAAAUGAUGACAUCAGCAGGAACACAGAACUUGUUGGUUACAAGGUGGAACACUUGUGUGCCAUGAAGCCAAAAGUCAGCUGGCCCUCUCCUCAGGUGUAGAGCACCUAUUAUCAUUUCACCUGUUUUGAUUCUCUGAUGAGGAAAAUCCCAGGACUUAUCAGCCGGGAUAGGCCUCAUUUCCAAGACAGCUCUGUUCAGUGUUUGGAAGAAAGCCUGACAGGUUUCUCCGGAAAAGUGGCCAUCCAUGGAAUGAAUGAAAUGUUCCCUUUCUGUUCCAGGGAUUGCAGUGGCAAAGCUAGGCUAGGUCUUGGAGGCUGGUGCAAGGCGAAGCGGGUGAAGGCAGGAGGCUGAUGGAGAGACUGGGGGGAAGAAAAGCCGAAAUGGAUUCACAGUGCCUUGGAUGGAGGACGAGAGGGGAAUUGCAAGCUCCUUCAACUCGUUCUGUCCGGUGAGAAGUGAUCAAGCUUGGGCUGACAAGAGGCUCAGGAAGCCCUCACGUUCUUUCGCUUUUUUACCUGCCAAUCAAACUGCUACAAGACAACACCCUGAUCUGGCAUGGACAUCGCGGGUCCAAGCCUGUAGUCCCAAAUCGGAUAUCUCUGCAGCUGAUAACGAGCAAAAGAGAAGCCAGGCAACAGCCAUAUUAAAGAAGAAAACAAUCAACUCUGAGGAUGCCACCCUGAAAGUUUUAUUUUCUCCAGGAAAGUAGAGUUCUCUUUGAGAGUUCUAGCCUGUGAACUCAGUAUGUAAAUGUGGUCAUCAAGCAAGAUGGAGCUGCCAAGAGGGAAGAUUUUGAACGUUUCUCUUUCCUAAAACCCUUCCCAGCAUUCCUUCUUCUGGGGGUGCUUUACUUGAAGGUUCCCCCUUUCCCCAACGCUGUUAAAAAUAGCUCCCAAGCAACACUGCAGUAGCUAAACCAAUUGUACUGUGAAGUUGUUGAGCUGGCAUUUCAUCUGAAUCCUUUGUAAAAAUUAGAUUUUAAGUAGGGGUGAGUGUCAUUUUGGGAGAGGGGACAAGGGUGAGGGGAAGAAGAGGGGGAGGGGAUGAGCAAUUUAUACACAUAUAUACUCUUUGUGUUUGAAGGCCUCUGUGUCUUGGCUUCUCACUAUGUUAAAUCCCUAUUAUAAAACUUAUCUUCACAAAGCCUAUUAUAGUAUUCUGAGAACAAAUUGGACCAUGAAUAACUUAGUUGGAAGUGUAGAUUAUUUUCUACUCAGGAAAAGUUAGAGAUGACAACAGCUUAACUAAAAGAAUAGUGAUUAAUCUUAAAUAGAUGGAUUUCAAAGUUUCACUCUUGAUAAAGAGUACCUUUGAUAGUUCCCCUCUUCAGACUCAUGUUUCCACUUUCUUUGUAUUAAGAAUUGUCCUAGUGAUUACACUGUCCACCUAAUACAGCAUGACUCUGACUGUAGACCUUUUUCUUACAGGUUGCUAAUCUGUCAGAGAGGUGAGCAGAAAGACACUUGACUUCCUAUUGAUUAAAUAUAUGGUUCCAAAGUGGGACCUGUGCAUAGAGAUCAGACUCUCUGUUAGAAAUACUAUCUGGCAUAAAUCAAAAUUUCUCAAUUAGAUAAAAUUAUUAUUUAAAAACACCUUAAAUUUGUUUAAUGCCCUACAGCUUACAGAACACUUCUCAAAUCAUAAUUUUGUUUGAUCCUUAAAAGACUGUUAUGAUAUAAACACAUAACACUAAUCUCAUUUUACCAAGGAGGAAGCUGAGUCACUUGUACACUGCGAGCCAGCUGAUAAAUGGAAGAACUGGAAUACCCACUCAGAUUUUACAGCUUCUGUUUUAAGUGAUUAACCUGUAGCAAUAGGCAUUUAAAUUCCUUUUGUGUUCUACAUCCCUGAAAAUCAAGAUUUUGUAUGAAGGAGCAAAGUUUUUAUAUUUCACAGAUACAGAAGUUAAAGGACC